rnacentral:tRNA from 1 species
GUUAAGAUAGCAAAGGGGUAAUGCAAUAGAUUUAGGAUCUUUUAUCAAGGGUUCAAGUCCCUUUCUUAACU